CCAUUGGAGGGCAAGUCUGGUGAACGUAUGCAUCAAAGCCCUCCGUAAUAAAAAAAAACAGCGCCAGAUGUCUCUCUCUGGAAGCACACCACGCACGGGGUUCGUUCCUCUCUGCAUGGCCGUGUGAAAAAGGCGAGUAGGCAAACGAUGGGAAACCCGGCUUGGAAUAGUAACCAGCCACAGAGGCCCCAUCAUACACUUCUAAAUUGCCGGGGAGUGCCCGCGAGGCCUUGACUACCGCGGUCCGCCGAGAGGUGAGAGCGAGCAAUCGCUCAGGACGCAGCAGUGUACGUAGUGGUACAUGGAUGGUAAAAACGUCAAGGAUAGGGUUGAUCCGCAGGGAAGCGCGAGGGCCAACCUGCCUUUGGGCAACAGUUGGCAAAGGCGAACCUUCAGAGACUCUAAUGGAGUGGGCGCAAGCUUAAGGGAGAGUCCAAUCCACUGGGAAACCAGGUCCACAGCAGUAACGGGGUGAUGCUCGCCCCAGAGGACUGUGGAAGGCAACCACCAAAGCGGUGUGUGUUGUCGGGUAGCAAUGGCCAGCAGCCGCGGUAAUUCCAG
rnacentral:ncRNA from 1 species